UCUAAACUCCUAAUGCCUCAGUUGGUAGGUCGCGUUCCGGGUUUUAUUUUCGUCCCACCUCACCUGGUUUUUUUGGUACCACCUUCACUGGUUUAUUUUCGUCCUGCCUCAACCUACGAAAAGAAACCAACGAAAAAAAAUCGAGGCCCCCUCGCACGAACCAGGAGCGAGGCCUCCAGUCUGCCCUCGAUCGUCUCGCUACGAGGACGAGAACCACGCCCCAGCCGCCGGAGCCCUACGCCGCCGCCGAGAUCGGAGAGGAGCCGCCGCCGCCGAGGUUCGAGAGGAGCUGGCAACCACGACCUCCCUCCCCAGCUGGCCGCCACCACCCCCUCCCCAAGCAGCCAUGUACAGCACGGCGGCGCCCACGCGCCUGGCCUAGGUGGGUCUCGGCCUCCCUCCUCCCUUCGUCCAAGGCCAGGAGCUCCCCCUCCCCGACCCGAUCUGGUGGAGAGAGGGCCAGGCCUUGCCACUCCGGUGGUCGCUGUGGCCAGAUCUGUCCGGGGUAGUCGCCGUAGAGCCUCUACGGCGGCGGAGUAGCAGCAGCCCGACAGAAGGUGGGUGCCAGAUCGUCGUCCAGCAGCUCGCCGUCGGAGCUUCUCACUGGAGGCAAUGGAGGCCGGAAGCAGCCGUCGUUGCCAGGCGGUCGAUCAUCACAGAUGGAAAACGAGGUCCAGCCAAAAUGUCUCAGAUCGGCAGAUUCUUAGUGGACUGCUUUCCUCAUGUCGACACAGUCUGCGAGGUGGAAGAUCCAUAGCAUACAGAUGCUAUCUUGGGUACGACUGAGCAGUCUCGGAUAUACUUUAACCCAGACAUCAACGCAACAAAUAACUUGAUUAUAAGGUACAAUCAUGAUUACCAAUGCCUAGCUAUUUUUUGAUCUUGACUAACACAAAGGGUAUAAUGUGUAGUUUCAGGGAGCCGUGUAGUUUCAGGGAGCCCCGUUGCUUUCUCAUAGAAUUUGUUCAGAUAUAAAUUUGCCUAUUACCAACAAUACAUUGAAUUAUAAUUAUAAUAUUGCAGGAACAAAUGUCAUGUGAAGCAAAUAAUUUCCUUAGAAAAAAUGUUCUCAUUCUGAAGGCGCCGACAGACCAUGAUACUUGAAGAUAUGGACGUGCCAAAUCUGCGCCGACCUCCUCUACGUGAUAUCUCUAAUGUUGAUCAUCAUUCCCAAAUGUCUCCAGUGCCAGUGAGCUCAGAGAACUUAACCCUGUUUGGAUCCGGUUGGGAAUGGGUAAAUCUUGCUAAGCAACUACGAGAGCGCAACAGAACUAAGCUGAUGGGGAUGCGAGAAACUACCAAAGACGACACCUGGUCGACAAAGAUGGAUGCGAGCAUCUGUCAGUGGCAGAAGAGAUGAAUCACAAAAGUAAAGCUUACAGUCAAAAAUAUGUGAAGCUCGGGAGGGCAUGGUGCUCAAAUACGUGUACCUCGAAACUUAAUUUUGUUCGCCUGCAUCAAUCAUCCAGUUCUGGUCUGACUUCAUUUUGCAAGAUGCAGAAGCAGUACUCCAAAACAUGCAUGGCUCAUCUACUCCAGAUACAAGUCCUACAAGCUUUAAGUGUUGAUCGUACAAGCCUGCUCCUAAACUUUCAGAGUUGCUGACAACAUUGAGCUGGACUUGCUUUUGUUGCUACUAUUGCUGAAGACAAACUCCAGAAAAGGGAGUGAAAGCAGAAAGAAGAGAGGUUGCACAAGAUGAGUAAUGAUGGGUAGCGAUAGAGGCUGAAGCUGUGAUGAUGAUGCGGAUCUGACCAUUAGUAUGUUUCCCAUCAAGGAAACCUACAAAUUCUAUUAUGAUACAAAUUUUCUAUUAUGAGGUGUGUUUCUCAUAAAGAAUGUGAUUUCUGCAUGAUAGUUUUCUAAAAAUGUGAAGGUUUUAUGCAAAGACUGACAUUUUAGAAGGAUGUAGUAAAAUAUAAACCUUGGUAGGUACUCCUGAAGUUGAAGCUGCUCAAGCAAUAGUAAUUUUUUUUCCGAGCAC